rnacentral:rRNA from 1 species
GAUGAACGCUGGCGGCGUGCUUAAUACAUGCAAGUCGAGCGAACAGAUGAGGCGCUUGUUCCUUUGACGUUAGCGGCGGACGGGUGAGUAACACGUGGAUAAUCUACUUAUAUGACUGGGAUAACUUCGGGAAACCGGAGCAAAUACCGGAUAAUAUAUUGAACCGUAUGGUUCAUUAGUGAAUGACGGCUUUGCUGUCUCUUAUCGAUGGUUCCGCGCCGUAUGAGCUAGUUGGUAAGGUAACGGCUUAUCAAGGCAACGAUGCGUAGCCGACCUGAGAGGGUGAUCGGCCGCCCUGGAAGGGGAACACGGUCCAGGCUCCUACGGGACGCAGCAGUAGGGAAUGGGCCGCAGUGGGGGGAAACCUGGCAGAACGGCGCGGCGUGAGAGGUAGAGAUCUUCGGAGCGGAAAGCUCGGUUACGAGGGAAAAACAGAUUUGUAAGUAGCUAUGCACUGCGUGACGGUACCUAGUCAGAAAGCCACGGCUAACUACGUG